rnacentral:rRNA from 1 species
AGGUGGUGCAUGGCCGUCGUCAGUUCGUACUGUGAAGCAUCCUGUUAAGUCAGGCAACGAGCGAGACCCAGCCCACAGUUGCCAGCGUACUCUCUGGAGUGACGGGUACACUGUGGGGACCGCCGCUGCUAAAGCGGAGGAAGGAAUGGGCAACGGUAGGUCAGUAUGCCCCGAAUAUCCCGGGCUACACGCGAGCUACAAUGGUUGGUACAAUGGGUAUCUACCCCGAAAGGGGACGGGAAUCUCCUAAAACCAAUCUUAGUUCGGAUUGAGGCUGCAACUCGCCCUCAUGAAGCUGGAAUCCGUAGUAAUCGCGUUUCAACAGAACGCGGUGAAUACGUCCCUGCUCCUU